rnacentral:lncRNA from 10 species
AAAGUAAUUUUUGUGAGUUAACUUGGCUGUUUGGAUUAGAUUUCAACCUGAUACUUUACCAUGCCUAAUGUCUGAGAAUGAGAAAUUGUCUUUUCUGAAGUCAUAGAUGAUAAUGUCCAAGUAAUCUAGAGGCUGUGUUGAAGUUAGGAAGAAAGGAAUUUCUGACAUCAAGUUUUUGCUUUGUCUUCACUGUGGAUUUUUCUAGUUUUCUCUAAGUCUCAAAUUUCCAAGCUAUACAUAUUACAGGUUCACGCCAUUCUCCUGCCUCAGCCUCCCAAGUAGCUGGGACUAUAGGUGCCGCCACCACGCCCGGCUAAUACAGUAGACCACUGUUACACCUAACAAUGAAAGUGCUGAGGUGCUGCUCAGAAGGUGCCUCGCUUCCUCUUUGUUUACCAGGACCUGUUGUCGUCAGCCCUCUAGGAACCAGCAUUCUCAGGACACUCUCUGUGUCAAGACUAGCUCUCAGACUGCAUGUUUUGAAAACAAAGUAUAUGCUAGGCAUUGAUUCGGCGAGGAGAGGGUUGAUGUGGUUCAGUGGACAAUG